GGAAAAAAUGGGAAAAAUUCAAGGAAACAAGUGAAAAAAAAGGUGGUGAAUCCUCCGAAAAAGGGUAAAGAAAUUGAACCCGAGGAUCAAUAAUCGGAGUACUCCAAAAUUCAAACUCCUAAUAUAGCUCAGGAUAGUCAGUAGAUAGCUCACUUUGUUGAGGGCUA